rnacentral:tRNA from 1 species
UGGUCGUUAGCUCAGCCGGUAGAGCGCUUUCCCUACAAGAAAGAUGUCGGCGGUUCGAACCCGUCACGACCAACCA